AUGCUCACUUCGGCAGCACAUAUAAUAAAAUUGGAAUGAUACAGAGAAGAUUAGCAUGGCCCCUGUGCAAGGAUGAUACGCAAAUUCAUGAAGCAUUCCAUAUUUUU
ensembl:snRNA U6 U6 spliceosomal RNA